rnacentral:misc_RNA from 1 species
UCCGGUAGUAUCAUCGAAUCAUAAACCGAAAAUACAAGACAACAUUUACAUAAAGCUACAAAUCUAGAACUUCAGCUUUUUGUAAAUUUUGAGAUUUUCCAUUGCGUGAGUGCAGAUUGACCAGGAUAUAACAUUCUUUGAUCGCUUGGUAUCACUUUUGUUCAUAACGUGUCACAUGCUGAUGCAUUCUGUGCUCAAUGAUAGCUUGACAACAUCUUUUGCCUUGAGGCAUACUAGACACUGCUGAUGUCCACUCGGCUCUUAUGAAGCUGAAAAGCUGGGGUAAUCCAACUCCCACAACUGCAUUGGAUACCUGACCAAUUAAAGUAACCCAAGCGAGCUUCACAGUGAGCGCAUAACAGCUUCCCCUCUAAUGCACCUUCCUCAACUGCUGACAUCCACCGUAAAGGUUCAACAAAAAGGGAUGAACACUCAGGCUCAUCAGACUUGUUAAAGGGAUUGCCACUUCUCCUCUUGUUCCAGGCAAAGGAUGUCUCACCUUCCCCUGGAAUGUGAUCCACCACAUUCUCCUGCAAUGCAACAACUCUUCGGCAUUUCUUGCAGCGGUAUGCAGUUGUACGCCUAUUUUCAUCAUUUGGAGAUGGUGAAAUCUCAGAGGAAACACCAGUAGGCAUGCCAGGAUCAGCCCCAAGUUUAGAACUGUCUAUCUUCUCUCCACGGUUAUAAGAAUCACC